UGGGAAAUACUUUCUGAGAGUCCUGGACCUCCUGUGCAAGAACAUGAAACAUCUGUGGUUCUUCCUCCUCCUGGUGGCAGCUCCCAGAUGGGUGCUGUCUCAGGUGCAGCUGCAGGAGUCGGGCCCAGGACUGGUGAAGCCUUCACAGACCCUGUCCCUCACCUGCACUGUCUCUGGUGGCUCCAUCAGCAGUAGUGAUUACUACUGGAGCUGGAUCCGGCAGCCCGCCGGGAAGGGACUGGAGUGGAUUGGGCGUAUCUAUACCAGUGGGAGCACCAACUACAACCCCUCCCUCAAGAGUCGAGUCACCAUAUCAGUAGACACGUCCAAGAACCAGUUCUCCCUGAAGCUGAGCUCUGUGACCGCCUCGGACACGGCCGUGUAUUACUGUGCGAGAGACACAGUGAGGGGAGUGCACUGUUGGCCUGGUGGAGCCCUCGCAGACCCUCUCCCUCACCUGUGCUGUCUCCGGAUUUUCCAUCACAACCAGUGCUUCCUGCUGGAGCUGGAUCCACGAGUCCACAUGGGAAGGACUGCAGUGGAUCAGGCGCACACGUCAUGA